rnacentral:rRNA from 1 species
AAGAUUAGCUAAUUACCUCAUACGAUCUACCGAAUGAAAAGUGGGGGAUCGCAAGACGUCAUGCUCGUGGAGCGGCCGAUAUCUGAUUAGUUAGUUGGUGGGGUAAAGACCUACCAAGGCAUCGAUCAGUAGCUGGUCUGAGAGGACGACCAGCCACACUGGAACUGAGUCACGCCCCAGACUCCUACGGGAGGCAGCAGUGGGGAAUUUUGGACAAUGGGCGCAAGCCUGAUCCAGCAAUCCCGCGUGAGUGAAGAAGGCCUUCGGGUUGUAAAGCUCUCUUGUCAGGGAAGAAACGGUUCGGGUUAAUACCUUGGUCUAAUGACGGUACCUCGGGGGGGAAUCACCGCCUAACAACGUGCCAGCAGCAGCGGUAAUACGUAGGGUGCAAGCGUUAAUCGUAAUUGUUGGGCGUAAAGCGUGCGCAGCCGGUUGUGUAACACAGAUGUGAAAUCCCCGGCCUCAUCCUGGGAAUUGCAUUUGUUGCUGUACGGCUAGAGUGUGUCAGAGGGGGGUAGAAUUCCUCGUGUAGCAGUGAAAUGCGUAGAGAUGUGGAGGAAUACCGAUGGCGAAGGCAGCCCCCUGGGAUAUCACUGACGCUCAUGCACGAAAGCGUGGGGAGCACACACGAUUAUAUAUCCUGGUAGUCCACCCCCUCUACGAUGUCUACUCUUUUUUGGGCUUUUCCCCGGUAACGCACCCAACACAGUAAGUAUGCGCCUGGGGAGUACGGUCGC